rnacentral:rRNA from 1 species
AGCGAACGCUGGCGGCAGGCCUAACACAUGCAAGUCGAACGAACCUUUCGGGGUUAGUGGCGGACGGGUGAGUCACACGUGGGAACGUGCCUUUAGGUUCGGAAUUCCUCAGGGAAACUUGUGCUAAUACCGAAUGUGCCCUUCUGGGGAAAGAUUUAUCGCCUUUAGAGCGGCCCGCGUCUGAUUAGCUAGUUGGUUGAGGUAAUGGCUCACCAAGGCGACGAUCAGUAGCUGGUCUGAGAGGAUGAUCAGCCACAUUGGGACUGAGACACGGUCGAAAAUACUACGGGAGGCAGCAGUGGGGAAUCCUGCGCAAUGGGCGAAAGCCUGACGGAGCCAGGGCGGGUGAAUGAUGAAGGUGUGAGGAUAGAAAAAUUGUUUAACCGGGGACGAUAAUGACGGUACCCAGAGAAGAAGCCCCGGCUAACUUCGUG